AUUGAACGCUGGCGGUAUGCUUAACACAUGCAAGUCGAACGGUAGCAGCAGAGCUUGCUCUGGCUGACGAGUGGCGGACGGGUGCGUAACGCGUGGGAAUCUACCUUAUAGUGGGGGAUAGCCCGGAGAAAUCCGGAUUAACACCGCAUAAUCUCUACGGAGGAAAAGGGGCCUCUUCUUGAAAGCUCCUGCUAUUAGAUGAGCCCGCGUUAGAUUAGCUUGUUGGUGAGGUAAUGGCUCACCAAGGCAACGAUCUAUAGCUGGUUUGAGAGGAUGAUCAGCCACACUGGGACUGAGACACGGCCCAG
rnacentral:rRNA from 1 species